CGCCCGCCCCGGCAGAGCCAGAUAGAGGGGACACAGGGAACAAGCUAACUCCCCAGCCUCCCUCCAGCUGCCUUUCAUAGUCACAGCAGUGCUGAGCUGAAUAAGAAGAUUUAGCCGAAAGGGGGCGGGGCUACACGGCACUGUACACAGUGCCAGUCCAGCAAGCAGCAUGGGAGACAGAAGCUCACUGUGUAGCAGCAGAAGACUCUAAACACAUCCGUACACUUGUUUCUAUGGUGAUGGUUACACCACGCCCCCUGGUGACGCCGGGUAGCCGGCGCCGGCGCGCGCCCAUGACGUCAUCGGGUCUCCCGGAGAGCGGCGGUCGUCUGCACAUGAGGUGUCACUGUACUGCUGAUAAUGCCACCGGCUGUGGGACCCUUCAUUGCUUCAGGUCCUGGCACAAUGCACCAGCUGCAUCACCAAAAGAUCCACCCAUCACCCACAAUAAAGAGCAAAAGCAAAUACAAUGCAGGGACUUCAUAUUUUAUUAGCAAGUCCACAGGCACAGAGAUUUUCUGCUUAUCCAUGAUCUACAAGCUUGCAAGCAUUUCUGAAGAUAGUUGUGAAUAAUUUCUCUUGUUCAUAUUACUGAAUAAUAUUACAGAUAUAACCACGCUCAUUCAGCCCAUGGUACGACAGGCUGUGACUAGUAUUCACACACACGACUAGCCGCAUCCACAACUAGCAUAGCUACAUCUGUAAAUAUGCUUGAUAGAGAUGUGUCCUCAUACAUCUUGCCUCAAUACAGUAUGCCACACAGUGAUUGCUACAACUCUAUUAGAAUCAGGUGGUUUUUUUUUUUUACAGGAAAUGCGUUGCACAAACAGACUAUGCUGAUUAAAAUUAUAUGCGGAAUGCCUAUAUUCUGUGUGCGUCUGUGGCUGUAUCUGCAUACGAAAUGCUACAUUUUGUAUACAAAUACAUCCAUGGCUACAAACAAAAUAUAGGCAUCAUUGUGCGAUUAAUACGCAUUUUAAUGGAAAAAGUCACACAAAAUUGACGAUUGGUGCUACCAAGUCAUGCCACAGCAUGGCAUGAGUAGAAGGACUGUUCAAUGUGCCAGGAGGCUAGAUGUAUGUGGCCACAUCUGUAAUUCUGAUUGUUAACUUAUUGGCCUUUGUGAGGCACAACAUUAUUUCUGGUUAAAAUAUGUUGCACACUAGUAAUGUAUUACAACAAUAACCAAUACAGAUGUUUACCUAUGUAAAAACAACUGUCAACAAUGCCUCCAAAAAACAGUAUUAUGUAAUUAUUAUUGUUUCUUAAUAAUUUAUUAUACACUGCCAGUCAGUCACAUGCAUGAUAAGAAUGACACAUUAGCUGGUAAAGGAUUGACUUUACCAAUGCCCCACAAGAAUACAGCCUUAUGAUAAGAAAAGUGGUUCAAGAUGGAAUCGUCCAUGGGCCACCCAUCCUUAUGUUGUAUAUUAAAGAGGACAUGCUCAGUUUAACAGCAAGCUGCAAGAACAUUAUUAUUAGCUCUGCUCUGUCCUUUGGGUACAGACUCUUGAGUUCACUUUCCUGUUCCCAGAGCUCUGUUCACUGCAUCAAAGUAUUAUGGGUUCCAGCCUGCUCCAGAUACAGCCUGUAUUAUCCAAGCUACAGUACAGCUCAAUCCACCUAAAACUAAAUUAACCUUUAUUAAUGCCCUUUUUGGCGUAGUUUCAGUCAUUCAAAGCUUUUUAGCCUUGAUACUCAGAACAUUGGCUACCAUAAGAUAAAUGCAUGCUGUCUGAAUGUCCUGUAGAUUGCUACACAAAUAGUUGCUAAUUCUUUUUUAUGUAUUAUCUUUUUUAGUUAAUCAUUUCAUGGUCUAAAGUAACAAUCAUAAUCAUAACACUUGACAAAAGUUUACAAUUAUUACAAUCAUUCUCAGGAUUAUGAUACUGAAAAUAUAAACUUGACUUGUUAUGCGCCAACACUAAAGCAAUAAAAGAAAAGAAAGAAAUAGGAAGAUCACAAUGGUGAUAUAACAGAACGUAAAACCCAUAAUAUUCAAUGCGUAACAGAUGAAAGAGACAUGAAAAGCACAAAGCAAAAAAAGAUAAACAACAAUAUUUUCUAAUGCUAUAAAAUGGGAACAGUCUAUUGUACUGUAACUAAUGAUGUUUGAGUGUACUACAUUUGUUUGCAGCAUUUUAGUAAACAGAGUAACAAGAUAAUAACUAUAA